UAAAUACUCCCUCCAUCCGGAAUUACUUGUAAAAUGGAUGUAUCUAGAUGUAUUUUAGUUUUAGAUACAUUCAUUUUUAUCCAUUUCCGCGACAAGUAAUUCGGAACGCACGGAGGGAGUAUAAU
rfam:Triticum aestivum genome assembly, contig: Triticum_aestivum_CS42_TGACv1_scaffold_288644_4AL